rnacentral:lncRNA from 10 species
AUUCAGACUGAAAACACAGUAACUCCUCUGGCCCUUGCUGGGAAAUGUCCUGCGCAGGCCAUGGGCAGCACUCCAGUGCAGCUGACCUCCCACAAGGCCCCCAAACACAUGAUCCCACCAAAGGCUUGAACAGGGGAACCUCACAAGCAGGCAGAGAGCACACCUGAGACACAAGGACAAGUAAGUCAAGCAAAUGGGACUGAGGUUAAAGCCAGUGAAUAAAACUAAAGGUCACUUUAAAGGAGUAUAAAGCUACAGUGGACAUAACGUGGCAUAGGUGAUCUUGACACCACAGAACUGUGAAGCCUGCAAUCCUACAAUAUAGAGGGGUAUGAGGAAGACAUCUCAGGAUACUGAAGAGUGUUGCAGAGGACCCACAAAUAGUCCUGAGCAUGAGAUGGUGGACAACAAACCCAUUUUUGGUGUGUUGCAGCAAGAGCGCUGGCCUGCCAUGAUCUGCUACAUUCUACCUGGAAAUACAAGUCAGAAGUCAGCCUGUCAUAUUUUUUCAAAAGGUGACUUGUCAAAAUGAGACUUCUUUCAUAAAAUCAGUCUGGUUGGGCAUGGUGGCUCACGCCUGUAAUCCUAGCACUUUGGGAGGCUGAAGUAGGUGGAUGGCUUGAGCCCAGGAGUUUGAGACCAGCCUGGGCAACAUGGCAAAAUCCCAUCUCUACAAAAAAUACAAAAAUUAGCCGGGCAUAGUGUCACACACCUGUGGUCCCAGCUACUCAGGAGACUGAGAUGGGAGGAUCACCUGAGCCCGGGAGGUUAAGGCUGCAGUGAGCCAGGAUUGGGCCACUGCACUACAGCAUGGGUGACAGAGUGAAAUGCUGUCUCAAAAAACAACAACAAAAAAUCUCUCAAUCUGUCCAAAUAGUUAGAUUGUCUUCAGUAAUCUUUCCAUCGCGAUCUUGCUUUGUUUCUACUACUACUCUGAUGCUACAUAAUUAAGGUCACCAAUCGUUGUCACUGUCUUUCCAAACCUGUUGUUCCUUACUUCCUCCGGCCAUUCUUCCUUGUCCCCCUCCCAUUCAUCAUCCAGACACACACACACACACACACACACACACACACACACACACACACAUACAUUUUAACAAUACCAAACUCCUUGUAGUUCCCCUAAAUGAAUCAUGUUGUUUCCCUUACCUGAAAUGCCCAAUCCCUUUUUUAUUUUCAUUGCUAACUCCUCUCAUCUUUCCAGAGUGUUCACGUCUACCAGGAGUGUUCUUGUCCCUCCCAUUCCUUUCUACUCUAGCUCCACUCACAGUUCUGUGUAAUCCCAUCUUGUGGACUAACCCGUGUUAAAAAGAUUUGUUUGCUGAUUUGAUUCUUCCCUCCACUACACCCCCCCAUAACACAAAAUGAGUCCCUUAAAAGCAGAAAUGUUGCCUCACUGGUCUCCAGCACCCAGUGGAGUAUUUGGUAUGAAUGUCGGUCGAACUGUACUCUCUCCAGUGUGCAUUUUGUUCCAGGAAGACUAGGUAAUAGCAGGAGCAUUAGAAGCCUCAUCUUCAGGGCUGUUUGACAUUGAUUUUUUAAAAAAUACAUUUCCUGAGGUCUCACUAGUGCCAGAAUAUGAAAAAAAUAAUCAUUCUUCUCUGACUAAAGUGGAAUCACCAGUGAUUUAUUCUCUCCUUAAUCAGUAAUACUAGCUAACAUUUAUAUAGCCCUCACUAGGUCCCAAGCACUUUGAACAUAUCAUCUUAUUUCAUGUCUAUAACCACCUUCAGGUAGGCACUGUUGUUACCCUCCAAUUUACAAAGGAGGAAACUGAAGUGCAGGGAGGUUAAGUAAGUGGCAAGCUAGAAUCUGGAUACAGGUUGUCUGGUUCCAGGGACCAGGCAGUUAGCCAUUAUGCUAUGCGGCAUGAUUUCUUGCUUUCCUUGCCCUUUUUUCUUAAAUGUUUAAUUACAUAAGUAGCAUAUCAAUACAUUUAAAUUGUCAAAAAUUCAGAAACAAAGCAAAAACUCACUACUAUUUGAUGGGUAUCUUUCAAGAUCUUUUUCUUUGUUUACAUACAUAUAUACAUUAUGUGUGUGUACAUAUACACAAAGAAAUAUGUAUUUUUAUGUAACUGGAUUAUGCCUUAUUUUUCUAUAGAUUUGUUUUCAUUUAACAAUUUGUCUUAAAGGUCUUUUCAUAUCGAUGCAUAUUGAUCUAUUUUAUUCUUUGAAUGUUGCAUAGUAUGGAUAUAUUCCAUAGAAUGGGUGUAAUAUAGUUUAGGUAACCAUUUUUCUUUUGCGAGUCAUUUAUGUUGUUUCUGAUUUCACUGUUACAAACCAGGCUGCACUGAGUAUCCUUGAACAUGUCUCUUCACAUUCAUGCAACUAUACGUCUAGGAAAGAUCCUCAGAAAUAAAAUUGUUGGGAUGAAGU